rnacentral:rRNA from 1 species
CGGACCGGCGCGACGGGUGAGUAACGCGUAUGACCAACCUACCUAUCAGGAGGGGAAUAACCCGGCGAAAGUCGGACUAAUACCGCAUAAAACAGGGGUUCCACAUGGAAAUAUUUGUUAAAGAAUUAUCGCUGAUAGAUGGGCAUGCGUUCCAUUAGAUAGUUGGUGAGGUAACGGCUCACCAAGUCCACGAUGGAUAGGGGUUCUGAGAGGAAGGUCCCCCACACUGGUACUGAGACACGGACCAGACUCCUACGGGAGGCAGCAG